UGCUUCACAACCACAAUUUUUGCUCAUCUCUGUUCUUCUACCGCCUAUUCAAACCCUAAUUCCAUGGCGGACUAUCACAUCUCCCAUCUACGCUUCACUUUUUAAUCGAUUAUAAUUCCAUGUUCUUCCACCGAUUCAAACCCUAAUUCCAUUCGUCAACCCCUAAUUUCUUUAAUUUCCUAAUCAAAUAGGGUUGCAACAACCCAAAGAAGAGCUUUUGUAUCAACAAGUCAGUUAUGGCAACUAUGAAGUCAUCAAAAAGCUUCGCAGCGAAGGUGCUGGCCUUGAGGCACAAGAGCUGAAAAACAAAAUGCAAAGCUCUGGUAUGCCAUGGUCUGGGGAUGAAGGUCAGCAGAGAUGGGAACAAGCAUGGAUUGCUAUAAAAAAGGUUUGGGCUUCAAAAUGGAACGAGAUAACGUACUUUAGUACAAGAAAAGUGAAGCUAGAUCAUGAGCUCUUAUGCAUGGUUGUCCUGGUUCAGGAAAUAAUAAAUGAUGACUAUGCAUUUGUUAUUUAUACCACAAAUCCAUCUUCAGGAGAUCCAUCAGAGAUAUACGCCGAGGUUGUAAAGGGACUUGGGGAGACUUUGGUCGGAGCUUAUCCAGGUCGGGCUUUAAGUUUCAUUGCCAAGAAAGACAAGCUCGACUCUCCUAAGGUUUUGGGUUACCCAAGCAAACCCAUUGGCCUUUUUCAUAAGAAGAUCCAUUAUUUUCCGAUCUGCAUCCAAUGGUGAAGAUCUUGAAGGCUAUGAUGGUGCAUGACUUUAUGAUAGGUAAAACUUCCAUGAGAAUUUUGAAACCAUAGUAAUUUCCAUUAUAUCGUUCCUCCGAGGGAUGUUGCAAUAGUGGAUGCAAUUCGAUCUAAAAUGGCAAGAGGCAAGAGGCGAUCUACAAAGGGCGACGGUGCCAUGCUAAACAAGAUAAUGGCACCAAUGCUUGGCUAUGUCGGUACGACGGCCACAUCCAGCGGUGAACGGUGGCUACUUCGCUGCUGUGAGAGGUGAAAUAAAUCUGCCCAUAAAGUUCAGCGAACGAGAUCACGUCGUCUUAUGUUCCAGGGUGGUUUUGAUAGCAAAUCACAGGGCAUCUCGCAACAACGAUUCAGGUUGUUUGUGGCUAAGUGGGAGUUGCUCGAGGGCUGCAAAUGACACCGGGUAAUGGGGGUGAUGGCUGCUAGAACAGAAUGGAAAACGAGACAUCCACGUCAUGUGAUUUGGGUUCGGUUUCGGGGUUGAAUCAUGGUGUACGUACAAAGUUUGAGUUCGAACGUUAUAGGGCUGAUUUGGAAAAAAAAAAAGAAGAACUUAGGCUAUGUUUGGAAGUGAUGAAGUUGAUAAAGUUGGUUUUGCACAAAAAUAUACAUAAGGCCCUUAUGGAUGAAAGUUGGCAAAGUUAUUCAGGAGUUAUGUAAGACUUUGAGUUUUUGCCAUCUUCAUAUGUGAAUCAUUAUUUUUCUAACAGUCUUCCAAAUCAGCCAAUGACCGUAUGAUUUGUACAAGUGAGGUUCAUCAGUGGAGUGUCAGAAUGAAGAAAAAAAAGGAGUUUUUACUACUUCAGUGAAAGAGUGAAGGAUGGACAUAUGUUUCACAAGAUAUGUUUUUAAUCUUUGAUGGUUGGUGAUUCUGUUUUUAACAUGCCAGUUUUUAGGCCAAAUGGACAUCAACUUUAGCUACAUGAGCAAACAGUUAGUGAAGAUGAGGUCAGUAGUCUGCACAUGAUGUAAUUGAUAUUAAAAAAGAUAGUUCCAUGGAUGAAAAUGACCCUGUUGUCACUACAAAUGUGACGUCCCGCUUUGUAAGAAGUAGAACCUUCUAUUAUUUGUUUUGUAGUGCUUUCUGAUUGGUUUUGUUAGGGUGGUUGGGUUCGAUAAUGUAAUGCAAUUGAGAGCAAAGAAUGUUGAUGGAAUAAGUUCUGAUGGAACUUUCUACUGGUUACAAGAGGUAUGCUGUAAAAGGAUAGGAAAUGUACUCGACAGACACUACCAGGAAAGAAUGUAUAUUAUUAAUUUCAAAUGAAUACACGGAACAAUGAUGGCAUGGUUAAAAACUUAAACGUUUGGGGUUAUAGCUUUGGGAAUUUAGUAGGGUUUUAUUGAAUGAUUUUAGCUAUGUUUUUUGGAACCACUAUGGUGAUGUUUGGUUUUGAGUUAUAUUUUUGGGUUUUAUGUUCA